CUCCUCUCUCUCUCUAGGUUGAAGCCGAUCGUGUGGUGCUUGCCGAGGGAGUUGGUUCGUCGCCGACGUCGCGUCGCGGUGCCGUUCGAGUGUGCGUUUGACGUGGUAGCAUCGUGGGAAGGCCGGGCGAGGGUACGAUUCCGCCGUUUCGACGUCACGCCGGUGUUGGUUUGGCAUUUAGAGGUGGGUUAAUCGUCGAUUUACCUCCUAAGUAGCUAUAUGGUCGGCAUGUAUUUAUCGUGUUGUUUAGUAUAUUUAGAUUGCUCGAUUCAUGGAUUUCAUGUUGUUAUCUUCAAAAUCUGAAUUGGAGCUUUGUCUUUUGCUAGUAUCUGCUACACAUGUGGGACUUGGAUAUGACUUAGGAGAAAACUGCGACUAUGACCUGUCAUAUGCCUAAACUACCUGAUUUAGCUUUAGGAGCCGUUGUUAUUUUGUAUCACCGCAAUAUCAGCGUGGUGGAUACCCCAAGAAGUUUAGAUCUCUGUUACGCUCGUGCUGGGAUGCCGAGUGUAUUUUUAUAGUAGUGUUCAGACUGUUCCGGAUAGUUAGGUGCCGUCGGGAUUGACGGUGACCCAGUUUG
rnacentral:lncRNA from 1 species